GACGAACGCUGGCGGCGUGCUUAACACAUGCAAGUCGAACGCUGAAGGCCCAGCUUGCUGGGUUGGAUGAGUGGCGAACGGGUGAGUAACACGUGAGUAACCUGCCCCCUUCUUUGGGAUAACGGUCGGAAACGGCUGCUAAUACCGGGUAUUCACUGUCCUUCGCAUGGGGGGUGGUGGAAAGGUUUUUUCUGGUGGGGGAUGGGCUCGCGGCCUAUCAGCUUGUUGGUGGGGUGAUGGCUUACCAAGGCUUUGACGGGUAACCGGCCUGAGAGGGUGACCGGUCACAUUGGGACUGAGAUACGGCCCAGACUCCUACGGGAGGCAGCAGUGGGGAAUAUUGCACAAUGGGCGAAAGCCUGAUGCAGCGACGCCGCGUGAGGGAUGGAGGCCUUCGGGUUGUAAACCUCUUUCGCUCAUGGUCAAGCCGCAACUUGGGUUGUGGUGAGGGUAGUGGGUAAAGAAGCACCGGCUAACUACGUGCCAGCAGCCCGCGGUAAUACGUAAGGUGCGAGCGUUGUCCGGAAUUAUUGGGUGUAAAGGGACUUGGAGGCGGUUUUCCCGUCUGCCUUGAAAUUCCUCCGGCUUAA
rnacentral:rRNA from 1 species